rnacentral:rRNA from 1 species
UACGUAGGGCGCAAGCGUUGUCCGGAAUUAUUGGGCGUAAAGAGCUCGUAGGCGGCUUGUCACGUCGAUUGUGAAAGCCCGAGGCUUAACCUCGGGUCUGCAGUCGAUACGGGCUAGCUAGAGUGUGGUAGGGGAGAUCGGAAUUCCUGGUGUAGCGGUGAAAUGCGCAGAUAUCAGGAGGAACAGCCGGUGGCGAAGGCGGAUCUCUGGGCCAUUACUGACGCUGAGGAGCGAAAGCGUGGGGAGCGAACAGG